ACGGAGGUGAUGAUCCUUUCCCCACAUGAUCGACUAUGAUUAUAUCGUGCUUUUAUAAUAUUCUCCUCUUAUCAGUGGAGAAAUUAAGCCAGGAUUCUGAUCCUA